UGCCAGCCGCCGCGGUAAUACGAAGGGUGCAAGCGUUGUUCGGAAUUAUUGGGCGUAAAGCGCGUGUAGGCGGUUCGUUAAGUCUGAUGUGAAAGCCCCGGGCUCAACCUGGGAACUGCAUUCAGAACUGCAAGGCUAGAGUACGGUAGAGGGUGGUAGAAUUUCUUGUGUAGCGGUGAAAUGCGUAGAUAUAAGAAGGAAUACCAGUGGCGAAGGCGGCCACCUGGACUGAUACUGACGCUGAGGUGCGAAAGCGUGGGGAGCGAACAGGAUUAGAUA
rnacentral:rRNA from 1 species